GUCUUCUAUCUCAUCCUUUUUGGGAAUUUUUGCUACCGCAGGAGUUUUGUAUGCUUUAUCAUCUCAAAAUAAGUGGUUGACAUAUACAACAAUAACAGUGUUUGGGAUUUUAAUGAGCGCUUAUUUGCCAGCAGGAGUGGAAUUUGCGACGGAAAUAACAUAUCCUUCACCUGAGAGUACAGUGAUGGGAAUUAUAUGCGCCACAUCGCAGAUUAUGACGGUUGCUCUCACCAUUAUAUUCGGAGAGAUUACAACAAAAUUUGGAACAUUUUGGGCUCUUACUGGGAUGAUUAUAACUAUGGCACUGGGUACUAUUUUAUCAAUAAUGACGCCGAAUGCACUGAAGAGGCAGACAUUUUUUGAAAUGAAUAAUCGUGUGAAGUUCACGCAGAUAUCUCAGCAGGACAAUGGAAAUUAUCCUUGAAUAUGAGUGUGUUAUAGAAAUGUACCAAACAAUCACUAUGAGUAAUAUAUUGAUGGACUCUUCA